GACAGAGGGUGCGAACGUUGUUCGGAAUUACUGGGCGUAAAGCGCAUGUAGGCGGCAGCGCAAGUCGGGCGUGAAAUCCCACGGCUCAACCGUGGAAGUGCACUCGAAACUGCGCAGCUAGAGUCCUGGAGAGGAAGGUGGAAUGCUUGGUGUAGAGGUGAAAUUCGUAGAUAUCAAGCGGAACACCGGUGGCGAAGGCGGCCUUCUGGACAGUGACCGACGCUGAGAUGCGAAAGCGUGGGGAGCAAACAGG
rnacentral:rRNA from 1 species